rnacentral:rRNA from 1 species
GACGAACGCUGGCGGCGUGCUUAACACAUGCAAGUCGAACGGAAAGGCCCUGCUUUUGUGGGGUGCUCGAGUGGCGAACGGGUGAGUAACACGUGAGUAACCUGCCCUUGACUUUGGGAUAACUUCAGGAAACUGGGGCUAAUACCGGAUAGGAGCUCCUGCUGCAUGGUGGGGGUUGGAAAGUUUCGGCGGUUGGGGAUGGACUCGCGGCUUAUCAGCUUGUUGGUGGGGUAGUGGCUUACCAAGGCUUUGACGGGUAGCUGGCCUGAGAGGGUGACCGGCCACAUUGGGUCUGAGAUACGGCCCAGACUCCUACGGGAGGCAGCAGUGGGGAAUAUUGCACAAUGGGCGGAAGCCUGAUGCAGCAACGCCGCGUGCGGGAUGACGGCCUUCGGGUUGUAAACCGCUUUCGCCUGUGACGAAGCGUGAGUGACGGUAAUGGGUAAAGAAGCACCGGCUAACUACGUG